rnacentral:tRNA from 1 species
GGAUCCUUAGCUCAAAGGUAGAGCAGCAAAAUCAAAUCGAUUUUGCAUUUUGCCAGUUCGAGUCUGGCAGGAUCCA